rnacentral:rRNA from 1 species
GAGUUUGAUCAUGGCUCAGAUUGAACGCUGGCGGCAGGCCUAACACAUGCAAGUCGAGCGGUAGAGAGAAGCUUGCUUCUCUUGAGAGCGGCGGACGGGUGAGUAAUGCCUAGGAAUCUGCCUGGUAGUGGGGGAUAACGCUCGGAAACGGACGCUAAUACCGCAUACGUCCUACGGGAGAAAGCAGGGGACCUUCGGGCCUUGCGCUAUCAGAUGAGCCUAGGUCGGAUUAGCUAGUUGGUGAGGUAAUGGCUCACCAAGGCGACGAUCCGUAACUGGUCUGAGAGGAUGAUCAGUCACACUGGAACUGAGACACGGUCCAGACUCCUACGGGAGGCAGCAGUGGGGAAUACUUGGACAAUGGGCGAAAGCCUGAUCCAGCCAUGCCGCGUGUGUGAAGAAGGUCUUCGGAUUGUAAAGCACUUUAAG